UACGUAGGGUGCAAGCGUUAAUCGGAAUUACUGGGCGUAAAGCGUGCGCAGGCGGUUAUGUAAGACAGUUGUGAAAUCCCCGGGCUCAACCUGGGAACUGCAUCUGAGACUGCAUAGCUAGAGUACGGUAGAGGGGGAUGGAAUUCCGCGUGUAGCAGUGAAAUGCGUAGAUAUGCGGAGGAACACCGAUGGCGAAGGCAAUCCCCUGGACCUGUACUGACGCUCAUGCACGAAAGCGUGGGGAGCAAACAGG
rnacentral:rRNA from 1 species